UUCUUUUCUUUUCUUUCUUUCUUUUCUUUCUUUCUUUCUUUCUUUCUUUCUUUCUUUCUCUCUUUCUUUCUCUCUCUCUUUCUUCUUUCUCUCUUUCUAAUUUUAUUGGAGUAAAAAUGUUAAAAUGUUGUGUUAGGGUCAGUGUGCCUCUGUUUUCUAAUGAGCAAAAUGAAGAGCUCACGCAGCUCGGAGGCUGGUUGUGACGUUUCAGGGAGGUCUGUGAAAGUGCCUGGCAUAGACUGAGUGCUCCACAGACAGGGACUGGGAUUCCUUUUGUCCCCUCAGCCACUGCUUCAGCCUCCCCCCUUUUAUUUUUGGUCUUUUUAGGGCCUCGCCUGAGGCAUAUGGAAGUUCCCAGGGUAGGGGUUGAACUGGAGCUGCAGCUGCCAGCCUACACCACAGCCGCAGAACUCAGGGUCCAAGCAGAAUCUGAAUCUACACCACAGCUCACAGCAAUGCCAGAUCCUCAAUCCACUGAGUGAGGCUGGGGAUCGAACCUUUGUCCUCAUAGAUAAUAGCUGGGUUCACGACUGCUGAGCCAUGACGGGAACACCUUGAUGGUUGUAUUUUUAACGUCCUCAGUGAAUGUGGAGUCUCAGGGGCAGGACAUCUAUCUGGUUCCCUGUUGCAUCCGACACCAACACCAAAUACCCAGUGUGCUUGCAGCUGGUUCUGCCCCCAAAUGGCGGGAAUGGGGGCAGUGAUUUCAGGCUUCAGCUGGUCCACGUACCUGCUGCAGCCUUGUCAUUACCUGCCACUGCUGGAGUCACAAGUGCUGAAAACAAACAAGCAGAACCAACCCUGGGGGCCACAGCCCAGUGCAGAGGAAUGUGGGGCCCGCUUGCACCAUCUACCCGGCCCCUGGGACAAGUGGCUGGGGUGGCCUCCCCUGUAGCCACUCUGCCUUCUUUCUGAUGAACAAAAGUCCAGUGCAGCCUGGCUUGACAUAAUUUUGAGGCCAAACUCCAUUUCUCCCCUCCUUUGCGUCUGGAGUAGCCAUGGGACACAGCUGUGGCCAAAACCGAGGCACCACAGAUUGAGAUCCUGGGAAAAGUUCCCACACAUUCGUCUGGCACCGCGCCAGCUGCUCUCCCUCUUCUUACUGCCUGGAAUGCAGAACUGAUGUCUAGAGCAUGAAAAGCCAUUUUGCCACCGUGAGACACAGUCUAUAUGCUGAGAAUGAUUGAGCAAAGGCCCUGAUAGCAGCUUUGAGCUGCCAUAUAACCCUGGACUGCCUGCUUCUAGAAAUAUAAAGUUCUUAGUUGUUAAAGCCACUGUUUCUCCCCCUCCCUGGGGGGAGGUUAAGGUGAGUGGAUGGAGCCUGCUACUUGCAGUCAAAUACAAUUAUAACCAAUACAACUAGGUCAUUGCCCCCUUGGGUCAUCCUCUAAGGUCCCACAAAGGACUCAUCACACUGCACUUUACAAGCCCAUUGCUCCUACACAAACCCCACCAGAUACACGCUCAGGGAAGCAGAGGGCACAUUCUGUGUUGAUCCUAGUGCAUCCCCAGGGCAUGGAAGUUUCUGGCAAAAACAUCAGCUUCUCCGUAUGCUUUUCUUGAAUCAGUGAGUGAAAGGACAUUUUAAGUUCUAAUUUCAGAGGUAGCUCACUCGCCUUAGACCUAGGAACCAUCAUCUCUGGCCAAUUUUGAAACCUCUGUUGACGCACCUUUGAAAGAGUCCGCUUUGAGAAUGGUUUGCCUAAAAUACGUGAAGCUUUGUAAAUACCUCUCCCGGCCUCCCACAGAACCACUGCUUUUUCCUAACCAUCCACGGCCCGUCACGGCUGCCCUCAACUUGCCACUACAUGACCCAGAAGGCAACUCACGCAAACCCUAGGGCAGAUUCUGGCGCCGAGCGGUUAUCACAGUUGAGGAAGGGCAUGUCCCACAGCACAGGGAGAGCCCGACUGAGUACACAUCCGUGCAAACAGGGAGACAUCCACAGACACAGACAUCAGCUUGCCUCCCUAUCCUAACCAUCUCAGCUAUUUUUAAACUUGCAAAAUUACUUUCUCCAAGACUUCCGGAAGGUUCUAACAGUCGCCUCCUCCUCUUUCCUUUAUUGUGACUUUCUCCUCAAAACCUGCUAUUUUCACCAUUUCCUCAGGACAUUCACACUUUUUCUGUACCCAAGUUAUCCAACUUGGAAAUCCCAACUGUAUACUUCUGUUUGCCUUCUUUUUCAAAAGCCUGGGGAGUCCAUAUAUGACUAAUGAGAAUGCAGAGCUCAUGUAUUUCCUGGAAAAUAUGCAGUUCAUUUGUUCGUGUUGUUUGCU
rnacentral:lncRNA from 1 species